rnacentral:rRNA from 1 species
CCUACGUGCGGCAGCAGUGAGGAAUAUUGGUCAAUGGACGCAAGUCUGAACCAGCCAUGCCGCGUGCAGGAUGACGGCUCUAUGAGUUGUAAACUGCUUUUGUACGGGGGUAAACCCCGAUACGUGUACCGGGUUGAGUGUAUCGUACGAAUAAGGAUCGGCUAACUCCGUGCCAGCAGCCGCGGUAAUACGGAGGAUCCGAGCGUUCUCCGGAUUUAUUGGGGUUAAAGGGUGCGUAGGCGGUGUGAUAAGUUAGAGGUGAAAUGUCGGGGCUCAACCCCGUACCUGCCUGUAAUCAUGGUGGACUAGAGAAUACGUGCGGUAGGCGGAAUGUAUGGUGUAGCGGUGAAAUGCAUAGAGAUCAUACAGAACACCGAUUGCGAAGGCAGCUUACCAAACUAUAUCUGACGUUGAGGCACGAAAGCGUGGGUAGCAAACAGGAUUAGAUACCCGUGUAGUC